rnacentral:rRNA from 1 species
GUCCACGCCCUAAACAAUGUCAACUGGGUGUUCGGGAAGCGAUUCCUGAGUACCGUAGCUAACGCGUGAAGUUGACCGCCUGGGGAGUACGGCCGCAAGGUUAAAACUCAAAGGAAUUGACGGGGACCCGCACAAGCGGUGGAUGAUGUGGAUUAAUUCGAUGCAACGCGAACAACCUUACCUACCCUUGACAUGUCUGGAAGCCCGGUGAGAGCUGGGUGUGCCCGAAAGGGAACCGGAACACAGGUGCUGCAUGGCUGUCGU